AGUGAACGCUGGCGGUAGGCCUAACACAUGCAAGUCGAACGGCAGCACAGUAAGAGCUUGCUCUUACGGGUGGCGAGUGGCGGACGGGUGAGGAAUACAUCGGAAUCUACUUUUUCGUGGGGGAUAACGUAGGGAAACUUACGCUAAUACCGCAUACGACCUACGGGUGAAAGCAGGGGAUCUUCGGACCUUGCGCGAUUGAAUGAGCCGAUGUCGGAUUAGCUAGUUGGCGGGGUAAAGGCCCACCAAGGCGACGAUCCGUAGCUGGUCUGAGAGGAUGAUCAGCCACACUGGAAAUGAGACACGGUCCAGACUCCUACGGGAGGCAGCAGUGGGGAAUAUUGGACAUUGGGCGCAAGCCUGAUCCAGCCAUACCGCGUGGGUGAAGAAGGCCUUCGGGUUGUAAAGCCCUUUUGUUGGGAAAGAAAAGCAGCAGGUUAAUACCCCGCUGUUCUGACGGUACCCAAAGAAUAAGCACCGGCUAACUUCGUG
rnacentral:rRNA from 1 species